rnacentral:rRNA from 1 species
GGGUUGUGAGGUUAAGCGACUAAGCGUACACGGUGGAUGCCCUGGCAGUCAGAGGCGAUGAAGGGCGUACUAAUCUGCGAUAAGCGCCGGUAAGGUGAUAUGAACCGUUAUAACCGGCGAUACCCGAAUGGGGAAACCCAGUGUGAUUCGUCACACUAUCAUUAACUGAAUCCAUAGGUUAAUGAGGCGAACCGGGGGAACUGAAACAUCUAAGUACCCCGAGGAAAAGAAAUCAACCGAGAUUCCCCCAGUAGCGGCGAGCGAACGGGGAGGAGCCCAGAGCCUGAAUCAGCAUGUGUGUUAGUGGAAGCGUCUGGAAAGGCGCGCGAUACAGGGUGACAGCCCCGUACACAAAAGCGCAUGUGCUGUGAGCUCGAUGAGUAGGGCGGGACACGUGGUAUCCUGUCUGAAUAUGGGGGGACCAUCCUCCAAGGCUAAAUACUCCUGACUGACCGAUAGUGAACCAGUACCGUGAGGGAAAGGCGAAAAGAACCCCGGCGAGGGGAGUGAAAAAGAACCUGAAACCGUGUACGUACAAGCAGUGGGAGCACAGGUNNNNNNNUGUGACUGCGUACCUUUUGUAUAAUGGGUCAGCGACUUAUAUUCUGUAGCAAGGUUAACCGAAUAGGGGAGCCGGAGGGAAACCGAGUCUUAAUUGGGCGUUAAGUUGCAGGGUAUAGACCCGAAACCCGGUGAUCUAGCCAUGGGCAGGUUGAAGGUUGGGUAACACUAACUGGAGGACCGAACCGACUAAUGUUGAAAAAUUAGCGGAUGACCUGUGGCUGGGGGUGAAAGGCCAAUCAAACCGGGAGAUAGCUGGUUCUCCCCGAAAGCUAUUUAGGUAGCGCCUCGUGAAUUCAUCUCCGGGGGUAGAGCACUGUUUCGGCUAGGGGGCCAUCCCGGCUUACCAACCCGAUGCAAACUGCGAAUACCGGAGAAUGUUAUCACGGGAGACACACGGCGGGUGCUAACGUCCGUCGUGAAGAGGGAAACAACCCAGACCGCCAGCUAAGGUCCCAAAGUCAUGGUUAAGUGGGAAACGAUGUGGGAAGGCCCAGACAGCCAGGAUGUUGGCUUAGAAGCAGCCAUCAUUUAAAGAAAGCGUAAUAGCUCACUGGUCGAGUCGGCCUGCGCGGAAGAUGUAACGGGGCUAAACCAUGCACCGAAGCUGCGGCAGCGACACUGUGUGUUGUUGGGUAGGGGAGCGUUCUGUAAGCCUGCGAAGGUGGCCUGUGAGGGUUGCUGGAGGUAUCAGAAGUGCGAAUGCUGACAUAAGUAACGAUAAAGCGGGUGAAAAGCCCGCUCGCCGGAAGACCAAGGGUUCCUGUCCAACGUUAAUCGGGGCAGGGUGAGUCGACCCCUAAGGCGAGGCCGAAAGGCGUAGUCGAUGGGAAACGGGUUAAUAUUCCCGUACUUGGUGUUACUGCGAAGGGGGGACGGAGAAGGCUAUGUUGGCCGGGCGACGGUUGUCCCGGUUUAAGCGUGUAGGUGUGUGUUCCAGGUAAAUCCGGUUCACUUUAACACUGAGGCGUGACGACGAGGCACUACGGUGCUGAAGCAACAAAUGCCCUGCUUCCAGGAAAAGCCUCUAAGCAUCAGGUAACAUCAAAUCGUACCCCAAACCGACACAGGUGGUCAGGUAGAGAAUACCAAGGCGCUUGAGAGAACUCGGGUGAAGGAACUAGGCAAAAUGGUGCCGUAACUUCGGGAGAAGGCACGCUGACACGUAGGUGAAGUGAUUUACUCAUGGAGCUGAAGUCAGUCGAAGAUACCAGCUGGCUGCAACUGUUUAUUAAAAACACAGCACUGUGCAAACACGAAAGUGGACGUAUACGGUGUGACGCCUGCCCGGUGCCGGAAGGUUAAUUGAUGGGGUCAGCGCAAGCGAAGCUCCUGAUCGAAGCCCCGGUAAACGGCGGCCGUAACUAUAACGGUCCUAAGGUAGCGAAAUUCCUUGUCGGGUAAGUUCCGACCUGCACGAAUGGCGUAAUGAUGGCCAGGCUGUCUCCACCCGAGACUCAGUGAAAUUGAACUCGCUGUGAAGAUGCAGUGUACCCGCGGCAAGACGGAAAGACCCCGUGAACCUUUACUAUAGCUUGACACUGAACAUUGAGCCUUGAUGUGUAGGAUAGGUGGGAGGCUUUGAAGUGUGGACGCCAGUCUGCAUGGAGCCGACCUUGAAAUACCACCCUUUAAUGUUUGAUGUUCUAACGUGGACCCGUUACCCGGGUUGCGGACAGUGUCUGGUGGGUAGUUUGACUGGGGCGGUCUCCUCCUAAAGAGUAACGGAGGAGCACGAAGGUUGGCUAAUCCUGGUCGGACAUCAGGAGGUUAGUGCAAUGGCAUAAGCCAGCUUGACUGCGAGCGUGACGGCGCGAGCAGGUGCGAAAGCAGGUCAUAGUGAUCCGGUGGUUCUGAAUGGAAGGGCCAUCGCUCAACGGAUAAAAGGUACUCCGGGGAUAACAGGCUGAUACCGCCCAAGAGUUCAUAUCGACGGCGGUGUUUGGCACCUCGAUGUCGGCUCAUCACAUCCUGGGGCUGAAGUAGGUCCCAAGGGUAUGGCUGUUCGCCAUUUAAAGUGGUACGCGAGCUGGGUUUAGAACGUCGUGAGACAGUUCGGUCCCUAUCUGCCGUGGGCGCUGGAGAACUGAGGGGGGCUGCUCCUAGUACGAGAGGACCGGAGUGGACGCAUCACUGGUGUUCGGGUUGUCAUGCCAAUGGCACUGCCCGGUAGCUAAAUGCGGAAGAGAUAAGUGCUGAAAGCAUCUAAGCACGAAACUUGCCCCGAGAUGAGUUCUCCCUGAGACUUAAAGUCUCCUGAAGGAACGUUGAAGACGACGACGUUGAUAGGCCGGGUGUGUAAGCGCAGCGAUGCGUUGAGCUAACCGGUACUAAUGAACCGUGAGGCUUAACCUUACAACGCCGAAG